rnacentral:rRNA from 1 species
CGGAUGCUCCAGUUGGAUGCAUGUCCUUCUGGGAAAGCUUUUGCGGUAUGGGAUGGGGUCGCGUCCUAUCAGCUUGAUGGCGGGGUAACGGCCCACCAUGGCUUCGACGGGUAGCCGGCCUGAGAGGGCGACCGGCCACAUUGGGACUGAGAUACGGCCCAGACUCCUACGGGAGGCAGCAGUGGGGAAUAUUGCACAAUGGGCGCAAGCCUGAUGCAGCGACGCCGCGUGCGGGAUGACGGCCUUCGGGUUGUAAACCGCUUUUGACUGGGAGCAAGCCCUUCGGGGUGAGUGUACCUUUCGAAUAAGCACCGGCUAACUACGUGCCAGCAGCCGCGGUAAUACGUAGGGUGCAAGCGUUAUCCGGAAUUAUUGGGCGUAAAGGGCUCGUAGGCGGUUCGUCGCGUCCGGUGUGAAAGUCCAUCGCUUAACGGUGGAUCCGCGCCGGGUACGG